UUUAGCUUAUUGUCUAUUUCCAAUCAAUACAUUCUAGAGAGUCUAUUCACAGGAAAACCUGAUAUAUAUAUCGCAUUUCCUGACUUCACUAUGCACAGACCAUAUUUCUUCUUGACAUGUUACUAUUUGUUAAUUACUUACUAUUAUUCUUACACAUCACUCUUUCGUAAUUUCUAAUCUUUCUCUCUUAUAGGACCCAGUGGCUGUCUUGAUGUCUCACAGCAGGAAGAGACUCUCUCAAAUAGGUGUACACAUGGGGAGAGAGAGAGCAAGGAGACUGAGAUACAAUCAGCCACCAGCAAGUUGUCUUGAUUUUCUGAAUGGAGCGUGGUAGCAUGUUAUAGAGUCCAAGGAAUUUGCCAAAUCCGUGUGAGAAGAUUUGCCUCUCACAUGUGAGAGAAUUUUUUGAGAAAAAAAAGAUCCUGACCCCGUCCCUCUGCCACCACCCGAGUGAGGAAGACUGACAGAGCACAUUGGCUUGCUGUGGAGACAAGAUCAGGGAAAGCGCCCCUGAAAAGAAAGCAUUUUGGAAGUCCUGAAGGUGGAGAAGGAGAUUUAGAGGAAGAGUGAUAAAUCAGAAGUCUUCGUCCAAGAAUUAGCUUUGCACCAUCUACAGACCUAAGCAGCUGCAGUUCUGGAGGCUGGGAAGUCCAAGAUCAAGGCAUUGACAGGUUCACCUUGUGGUGAGUGUCCAACUACUGCUGGUAAAAAGUGCCUUGAAUGCUGCAUACUUUGGAGGUGUGAGCAGAAGAAAUCUGUGCCGAAAGAAUAGCAGAACUUAGAUAAAUCACAAACAUCCAGUAUUUUCCAAUAUUGGUUUCUCCUUUCCUCCAUUUUCCCUUCCUGGAAGACUCUACUGGAUGUCUUAGUGUACCUCAGAGGUGAGUUUCUCUGUAAAGUCUUCAGCAAUCUUCUGCGCACAGAACUAUCCUCUUUCCCUUCAUUCUCCAAUGGCAUUUUAUGCAUGCUUUUAUUAUAACAUUUAUUAUGCUUUAAGAUGAGAGAGGAUAAGUAUCAGUUUUUACUGCCUGUAUCAAAAUGUGUCUUCUUGAGAACAUAGUAUGUUACUUACUUUUAAACCUCCUCACCUAACAGCACCUGACUCAGAGUGAGAUUUGGGGUUUACUCAGUCAAUAUUUGUAGUAUUUGUUGGUUAAAUGAUAGGCCACCAGAAUGCUGUCUGGAGUAUGUAACUACUUCUGCAUGGUGAUAGUAGCACACAAAAUAUGAAAUGGAAAUUAAAACAUUUCAAAACCUUUCCACCUCUAACUCACUGAGGUAAACAAUUUAAUACCAUGAUGUUCCCUUUCACAAUGUUUUCCAUAUUGUAUUAGUUAACGAUUGCGGUGUAGCAAAUUUCUCAGGGGCUUAGCCUUCACAAAAACAAUAAAUAUUUAUUAUACCGCAGUUUUAGAAGGACAGGAAUCCAGGAGCAGCUUGGCUGGGUUGUUCAGGCUCAGUCUCUCAUGUGGUUGCCAUUAAAAUGUUGACUGGGGCUGCAGGGUUUAACUAGAGCAAGAGAAUCUGCUUCUUAUGUCACUGUUGGCUGAGGCAUUAGCUUCUCACUGGGCUGGUUCUCAGUGGGAGGCCUCAGUUCCUUUCCACGUAAAACUCUCCACACAGCUGCUUGAGAGGCCUCACAACAUGACGCCUGGUUUCCCCCAGAAAAGCCAGUUCAGUAAAAAGAGCCAGGCAUAAACUGCAGUCACAUGCCAUCACUUCUGCUGUGUGGUCUUGGUCCCGAGACCAACUCUAAUACCAUGCAUUAUACAAGGGUAUGAGUAUCAAGAGUCAGGGGCCACUGGGGGCCAUCUUGGAGGCUGGCUACCAUCCAUAUAGGGUUUUUGGUUUUUAUAAAAAAUCUAAUGAUGCUAUAUACAUUUAUUUGCAACAUUUUUUCACAUGUAAAUACUUCACUACCCUUUCUCCAGGUUGGUAGAUAUGAAUGGAACUAAGUCAUUCUUUACAUUGUAGCUGACGUUAUAAUACAUUUAUUUCAGACCUAUUAAUUCUCAUUGUUUUCUAUUUCAAUAAAGUAAUACAUAUUCUUGCAUAUUUAUUUUCAUUUUAUAGAGGCUACCAAAAGUAAACAUACUUGAUCAAAAAUAUCAAAAAUAGCAUUUUGUUUUUUCUAUUUCCAUAGACAUUACUACAUUUCAAAAGAGUGACAAUAUUUAUUUUGCACCAACUAUGCACAAAAGUACUUGUUUUCCCAUAUCCUCUUCAGCACUGGAUAAUUUUUUAUAUACAUUUUGUCAUUUUGAUGUGCAAGAGAAAUCUCUCAUUUUUCAUUUAAUAUGCUUAUUUCACUAUUAGUGAGCUUGAGCACUUAAUGUAUGUAUUGACUUUAUGCCUUAUCUUUUCUGAAUAUUGUCUACUUGUAACCUUUCCUUCUCUUUUUCUCAUCAAUUUCUAUGGAGCGUUUGGUAUUUGCACACAGCAAGAAAUAUAAUUUUAAUUAUUUUUGCUCUGAAAAAUUUAUAGUAUAGUCUCCUUAAAAGAAUAUUAGCAUCUAUUUCAUCACCUUUUUGAGUUGAUAUACCUAAAAGUCUACCAGGUUUCAUAGGGAUCAAACAUAUACAGAAAUAUUUUAUGUCUUAUUUCUAGGGAACUUAAGAUUGGAUGAGAACGUGGCUAUUGACAUUACUAAGCUGAUUCACCUACCCCAGAAAGUGGCAAAUUAAGCAGUCUGUUGACUUUAAGAUUACCUUGGAGAUAGAUCACAGAAUUUAAAAUGCAGUCACUCAGAAAGCAAAAUUGCUUGGGAAUAAAAGGCAAUAAUUACUAUCACUCUUUCUGCAACUAGUGAAAUAUA
rnacentral:lncRNA from 1 species